rnacentral:rRNA from 1 species
UAUAAGAUGCGGUCUAUCUGCAGUCGAGCGAACAGAUAAGGAGCUUGCUCCUUUGACGUUAGCGGCGGACGGGUGAGUAACACGUGGGUAACCUACCUAUAAGACUGGGAUAACUUCGGGAAACCGGAGCUAAUACCGGAUAACAUUUGGAACCGCAUGGUUCUAAAGUGAAAGAUGGUUUUGCUAUCACUUAUAGAUGGACCCGCGCCGUAUUAGCUAGUUGGUAAGGUAACGGCUUACCAAGGCGACGAUACGUAGCCGACCUGAGAGGGUGAUCGGCCACACUGGAACUGAGACACGGUCCAGACUCCUACGGGAGGCAGCAGUAGGGAAUCUUCCGCAAUGGGCGAAAGCCUGACGGAGCAACGCCGCGUGAGUGAUGAAGGGUUUCGGCUCGUAAAACUCUGUUAUUAGGGAAGAACAAAUGUGUAAGUAACUGUGCACGUCUUGACGGUACCUAAUCAGAAAGCCACGGCUAACUACGUGCCAGCAGCCGCGGUAAUACGUAGGUGGCAAGCGUUAUCCGGAAUUAUUGGGCGUAAAGCGCGCGUAGGCGGUUUCUUAAGUCUGAUGUGAAAGCCCACGGCUCAACCGUGGAGGGUCAUUGGAAACUGGGAAACUUGAGUGCAGAAGAGGAAAGUGGAAUUCCAUGUGUAGCGGUGAAAUGCGCAGAGAUAUGGAGGAACACCAGUGGCGAAGGCGACUUUCUGGUCUGUAACUGACGCUGAUGUGCGAAAGCGUGGGGAUCAAACAGGAUUAGAUACCCUGGUAGUCCACGCCGUAAACGAUGAGUGCUAAGUGUUAGGGGGUUUCCGCCCCUUAGUGCUGCAGCUAACGCAUUAAGCACUCCGCCUGGGGAGUACGACCGCAAGGUUGAAACUCAAAGGAAUUGACGGGGACCCGCACAAGCGGUGGAGCAUGUGGUUUAAUUCGAAGCAACGCGAAGAACCUUACCAAAUCUUGACAUCCUUUGAAAACUCUAGAGAUAGAGCCUUCCCCUUCGGGGGACAAAGUGACAGGUGGUGCAUGGUUGUCGUCAGCUCGUGUCGUGAGAUGUUGGGUUAAGUCCCGCAACGAGCGCAACCCUUAAGCUUAGUUGCCAUCAUUAAGUUGGGCACUCUAGGUUGACUGCCGGUGACAAACCGGAGGAAGGUGGGGAUGACGUCAAAUCAUCAUGCCCCUUAUGAUUUGGGCUACACACGUGCUACAAUGGACAAUACAAAGGGCAGCUAAACCGCGAGGUCAUGCAAAUCCCAUAAAGUUGUUCUCAGUUCGGAUUGUAGUCUGCAACUCGACUACAUGAAGCUGGAAUCGCUAGUAAUCGUAGAUCAGCAUGCUACGGUGAAUACGUUCCCGGGUCUUGUACACACCGCCCGUCACACCACGAGAGUUUGUAACACCCGAAGCCGGUGGAGUAACCAUUUAUGAGCUAGCCGUCGAAGGUGAUUUAUUCACGC